rnacentral:rRNA from 1 species
UACGUAGGGUGCAAGCGUUAAUCGGAAUUACUGGGCGUAAAGCGUGCGCAGGCGGUUAUAUAAGACAGUUGUGAAAUCCCCGGGCUCAACCUGGGAACUGCAUCUGUGACUGUGUAGCUAGAGUACGGUAGAGGGGGAUGGAAUUCCGCGUGUAGCAGUGAAAUGCGUAGAUAUGCGGAGGAACACCGAUGGCGAAGGCAAUCCCCUGGACCUGUACUGACGCUCAUGCACGAAAGCGUGGGGAGCAAACAGG